GUUAAGUAAACUAACUGGGGUGUGAGCCACCAUGCCCGGCCUGACAUCAGAGUCUUGGUAGAGAGCUCUGGUGUUUACUGUGUGGCUCUUCCAGUGAAACGUGUUCAUGUCUUCUCGUGAUCAGUCAUUUGAAUGUGGGCACCAUUGACUGAACUCAGCUGUACAUCACGAGGUAGAAUUUGUGAAGGACGUAUGUUCAUUUUGGGGUAGGCAUGGGGAAAAACAAAUUCAUGGAAGAAGUAUGGUCAGAACACUGAAAGUCAUUCUUUAAGUCUAAAGAUGUGGUAGAUGUUAAGUAAAGAAAUUGGGGCUGGGCGCGGUGUCUCAUGCCUGUAAUCCCAGCACUUUGGGAGACCAA